rnacentral:lncRNA from 1 species
CCUUGAUUUUAGACUUCCCAGCCUCCAGAACUGUGAGCGAAUAAAUUUCUGUUCAUCAUAAAUUACCUACUCAGGUUUUCUGUCAACAGCAACACAAAAUGGACUAAGAGCCUAAAGGAACAUUUUGACACCACUAAGCAGACCAACAUACACAUUAUAGAAGUACCAGAAGGAAAAUAGAAAGGAGCAGAGAGAAUAUAUAUUUGAUCAAAUAAUGGCUGAAAAUUUCCCAAAUUUGAUGAAAGACAGGAG